UAGGGAAUCUUCGGCAAUGGACGAAAGUCUGACCGAGCAACGCCGCGUGAGUGAAGAAGGUUUUUCGGAUCGUAAAACUCUGUUGUUAGAGAAGAACAAGGAUGAGAGUAACUGUUCAUCCCUUGACGGUAUCUAACCAGAAAGCCACGGCUAACUACGUGCCAGCAGCCGCGGUAAUACGUAGGUGGCAAGCGUUGUCCGGAUUUAUUGGGCGUAAAGCGAGCGCAGGCGGUUUCUUAAGUCUGAUGUGAAAGCCCCCGGCUCAACCGGGGAGGGUCAUUGGAAACUGGGAGACUUGAGUGCAGAAGAGGAGAGUGGAAUUCCAUGUGUAGCGGUGAAAUGCGUAGAU
rnacentral:rRNA from 1 species